CAGGGGCGGGCCCCAUUAAAUUCAAUGAUAAAACUUACGCACAUAACCAGGGGGCGCAGCUCGGCGCCCAGGUUCCCAGGGCGCUGGGGGCAGGCCGCAGGCUGGCAGGCAGGGACGGGCGGCCGGGCGCAAGGAGAAGAAGACAGCCAGAGCUAGAUCCAGUGAACUAAGGUUUGAACUAUGAAAAGGAAGAGGGGUGGCAGUGCCGCUACUGAUUUGAGAUCGUUCUUGCAAAGAGCUGCUGCAAAAAAGAAACCUCCUGAGGCAGAGGUUGUUAGUCCACCUACUAAUGAAAAUCAAAUGCAGAUAGUGGUAUUUCAAGGACAGAGUACCAGUGGGAGUGGGAGAAACACCAUACCUCUUGAAGCAGAGAGAGAUGAGCAGCAGCAGCAGCCACCAGCUAAUCCCUCAAUAAUUAAAGAUGAUGAAUUCAUGCCUAUAGAUGAAU